ensembl:lncRNA
GAGAGAGAGAGAGAAACAGAGAAAGAGAGAGAGAGAGAGAGAGAGAGAGAGAGAUAGACAGCAAGAGAGACACAGAGACAGUAAGAGAGAGACAGCAAGAGAGACACAGAGACAGAGAGAGAUAGACAGCAAGAGAGACACAGAGACAGAGAGAGAGAGACACAGAGAGAGAGAGAGAGAGAGAGAGACAGAGAGACACAGAGACAGAGAGAGAGACACAAAGAGAGAGAGAGAGAGACAGCAAGAGAGACACAGAGAGAGAGGCAGCGAGAGAGAGACACAAAGAGAGAGAGAGAGAGACAGCAAGAGAGACACAGAGGCAGCGAGAGAGACACAAAGAGAGAGAGAGAGAGAGAGAGAGAGAGAGACAGCAAGAGAGACACAGAGACAGAGAGAGAGACACAAGAGAGAGAGAGAGAGAGACAGCAAGAGAGACACAGAGACAGAGAGAGAGACAGCAAGAGAGACACAGAGAGAGAGAGACAGCAAGAGAGACACAGAGACAGAGAGACA